CAGUCGCCGCGGGAAUACGAAGGGUGCAAGCGUUAAUCGGAAUUACUGGGCGUAAAGCGCACGCAGGCGGUUUGUUAAGUCAGAUGUGAAAUCCCCGAGCUUAACUUGGGAACUGCAUUUGAAACUGGCAAGCUAGAGUCUUGUAGAGGGGGGUAGAAUUCCAGGUGUAGCGGUGAAAUGCGUAGAGAUCUGGAGGAAUACCGGUGGCGAAGGCGGCCCCCUGGACAAAGACUGACGCUCAGGUGCGAAAGCGUGGGGAGCAAACAGGAUUAGAUACCCCGGUAGUCCCUGUCUCUUAUAC
rnacentral:rRNA from 1 species